AGCUCAGCCCUUAUAACUACGAGAGGAUCGAAGUAGUGCUGAAGAUCAUUCAGGCCGCAGAUGACACUGUGACAACCUUUUCUGUUAGUCGGGCAAUGGGCCUCCUUCAGCACCUGAAGUCCUACAAGCGAGUCUCUCCUCCCUCAGAAGUGGAAACCGAGUAUCUUCUGGAAAACAGCUUGAUGCCAAACCUCCUGCCCAAAAGAAGACUGCCCUUCCACCCACUCAUGCAGAACAAACACUACUGGAAGAUCAUCUCUCCUGAGCUCAGUGAGGAGACCUUCCCUACUCUGCUGCUGAUUAGCAAACUGAUGAAGGU